rnacentral:misc_RNA from 1 species
UCACCGAUCGAGAGAUACUCCAACAGGAUAUAGACCACCUUAUCAGGACAAUGCCCAGACGUAUUCACGAGUGUAUAAGACAUCGAGGAUCUGCAACACAUUACUGAACUUCACUGGUUUCACGACCGUCCAAUUUAUCUGAAAACUUUGUUUGCUAUUAUCUGUCAAGUAUGUAGUAUACAGUGGAGACAUAAUUAUAUCGCUCGAUAACAUUCUCGAUACGGG